rnacentral:rRNA from 1 species
GAUGCUGACGAGUGGCGACGGGUGAGUAAUACAUCGGAACGUGCCCGAUCGUGGGGGAUAACGGAGCGAAAGCUUUGCUAAUACCGCAUACGAUCUACGGAUGAAAGCAGGGGACCGCAAGGCCUUGCGCGGACGGAGCGGCCGAUGGCAGAUUAGGUAGUUGGUGGGAUAAAAGCUUACCAAGCCGACGAUCUGUAGCUGGUCUGAGAGGACGACCAGCCACACUGGGACUGAGACACGGCCCAGACUCCUACGGGAGGCAGCAGUGGGGAAUUUUGGACAAUGGGCGAAAGCCUGAUCCAGCCAUGCCGCGUGCAGGAUGAAGGCCUUCGGGUUGUAAACUGCUUUUGUACGGAACGAAAAGCCUUUUUCUAAUAAAGAGAGGUCAUGACGGUACCGUAAGAAUAAGCACCGGCUAACUACGUGCCAGCAGCCGCGGUAAUACGUAGGGUGCGAGCGUUAAUCGGAAUUACUGGGCGUAAAGCGUGCGCAGGCGGUGAUGUAAGACAGAUGUGAAAUCCCCGGGCUCAACCUGGGAACUGCAUUUGUGACUGCAUCGCUGGAGUGCGGCAGAGGGGGAUGGAAUUCC